CAGUCGCCGCGGUAAAACGUAGGUGGCAAGCGUUGUCCGGAAUUAUUGGGCGUAAAGGGCUCGCAGGCGGUUUCUUAAGUCUGAUGUGAAAGCCCCCGGCUCAACCGGGGAGGGUCAUUGGAAACUGGGAAACUUGAGUGCAGAAGAGGAGAGUGGAAUUCCACGUGUAGCGGUGAAAUGCGUAGAGAUGUGGAGGAACACCAGUGGCGAAGGCGACUCUCUGGUCUGUAACUGACGCUGAGGAGCGAAAGCGUGGGGAGCAAACAGGAUUAGAUACCCGUGUAGUCCCUGUCUCUUAUAC
rnacentral:rRNA from 1 species